rnacentral:rRNA from 1 species
AACGCUGGCGGUAGGCCUAACACAUGCAAGUCGAACGGCAGCACAGGAGAGCUUGCUCUCUGGGUGGCGAGUGGCGGACGGGUGAGGAAUACAUCGGAAUCUACUUUUUCGUGGGGGAUAACGUAGGGAAACUUACGCUAAUACCGCAUACGACCUACGGGUGAAAGCAGGGGAUCUUCGGACCUUGCGCGAUUGAAUGAGCCGAUGUCGGAUUAGCUAGUUGGCGGGGUAAAGGCCCACCAAGGCGACGAUCCGUAGCUGGUCUGAGAGGAUGAUCAGCCACACUGGAACUGGGACACGGUCCAGACUCCUACGGGAGGCAGCAGUGGGGAAUAUUGGACAAUGGGCGCAAGCCUGAUCCAGCCAUACCGCGUGGGUGAAGAAGGCCUUCGGGUUGUAAAGCCCUUUUGUUGGGAAAGAAAUCCAGCUGGCUAAUACCCGGUUGGGAUGACGGUACCUCAAAGCGG